AACGAACGCUGGCGGCAGGCUUAACACAUGCAAGUCGAACGCAUCGCAAGAUGAGUGGCAGACGGGUGAGUAACGCGUGGGAACAUACCCUUUUCUACGGAAUAGCUCUGGGAAACUGGAAUUAAUACCGUAUACGCCCUACGGGGGAAAGAUUUAUCGGGGAAGGAUUGGCCCGCGUUGGAUUAGCUAGUUGGUGGGGUAAAGGCCUACCAAGGCGACGAUCCAUAGCUGGUCUGAGAGGAUGAUCAGCCACAUUGGGACUGAGACACGGCCCAAACUCCUACGGGAGGCAGCAGUGGGGAAUAUUGGACAAUGGGCGCAAGCCUGAUCCAGCCAUGCCGCGUGAGUGAUGAAGGCCUUAGGGUUGUAAAGCUCUUUCACCGAUGAAGAUAAUGACGGUAGUCGGAGAAGAAGCCCCGGCUAACUUCGUGCCAGCAGCCGCCGUAAAAC
rnacentral:rRNA from 1 species